GUUGUCGGUGGCUAUAAAUGGCGGAUUUUAAUUUUUCCCAAGGGGAACAAUGUUGAUUACCUGUCCAUGUAUCUGGAUGUUGCUGAUUCAGCUAAUUUACCUUACGGGUGGAGUAGAUAUGCCCAGUUCAACUUGUCAAUUGUUAACCAAAUUCAUAACAAGUACUCCAUCAGAAAAGAGACGCAACACCAAUUCAAUGCCAGAGAAAGUGAUUGGGG
rnacentral:misc_RNA from 1 species